rnacentral:sRNA from 1 species
CUGUUAGACUGGGGCACACUCACCUUAUUGUGGGAGUUAUAGGUAAGAAAAAUUAGCAGCUUAUUUUGGGGGCCAGGAUAAUAACACGUUAUUUUAAAAAGUCUUGGAAACUUGCAGACACAAAGGGAAAAAAAAAGAACAAUCCUAAUGGUAAAAACAAGUAAGUCUGACUGCGUCAUUUUGUAGUAAGACAAUGAGGAAAUGGGAACUCAUCAGAGGGUAACUGGGUGGUGCCUGUAAAAGUGAAGAUGUGCUUCUCCCUCAGCAGGCAUUUGCUGGGAAACCCUUGCAGAUGUUACAAGCACAGUUGUAGAAAAUAUCUAUUAGAGCACUAUUUGUAACUGAAAAAUGUUUCAUUUAUACUUUGAAUGUAAAGAAUAAAACUGAAUGAAAAAAUGGAA